GAAUAGUUUUUAAAAAGCUGCUAACUUUUUAAUAGCGUUAAUAGCUACUAGUUA
rnacentral:tRNA from 1 species